rnacentral:misc_RNA from 1 species
AAGUCGUAACAAGGUUUCCGUAGGUGAACCUGCGGAAGGAUCAUUACGAGCCCGAUGUAUUUUCCAUGUACCGGGCGCGGCUCCCGGCUCCCCGCGAAGGGAGCAGGUCGUAGUCCCCCGGUUCCGAGCGAUCUGAAUUGCCACACGGGAAGCCCUUAAGGUGGUACCUGGUAUAAUUCUCGCCCGGGAAACCCCACGCGUACCUUUCCCCAUCUAUGCCCUCCCUGGGCGGCGGUAUACGCUGCCCGUGGGGGCCCCGAACCCUGUCGUAUGAGUAGCGUACAAGUCCCUCCUCCCCUCUGUGGGAGCGAACCACGUACAACUUUCAACAACGGAUCUCUUGGCUCCA